CUCUCUCUCUCUCUCUCUCUCUCUCUCUCUCUCUCUCUCUCUCUCUCUCUCUCUCUCUCUCUCUCUCUCUCUCUCUCUCUCUCUCUCUCUCUCUCUCUCUCUCUCUUGUUCUUCCAUCUUGUUGGAUAAUGUUCUUAAAAUAAGGUAUACUAGGAUUAGAUCCGCGCCCUGCGCGGGGUGAGGUUGAUAUUAAAAUGAUGUAUUAAAAUUAUGAAACUGUAUUUUGAAUGGUUUGUAUAAUAUAAAGUGAACUAUAUAGAACUUAAAAGUAUAUAUUUUAUAAAAAUGAAAUAUAGUGGACUUCAUGUAAUAGACAUUAAUUCUUAAAAUUGUUUGUUUAUAUUUGGUGGACUUUGGUGUAUAGAAUAAUUUAAUUUUGUUGGGCCUUAUUUCAUAGUUGUCUAAAAUCAAAAAGAAAAAUUAGUUUUCUUUAAAAAAAAUUCAAGUUGCGUAAUAAAGGGUGGCCACAAAAAUAACACGCUACCUAGGUUGAUCUUUUAAUUUUUAAUUUUCCACAAUAUUUAUUACGAUUAAAUAGAAACCCAGCUGGUAUCCUUAAUUAUAUUUCGGGGCUUUUAAAAAUAUUUAUAUUGGGCUUUCGUGACAAAAUUAUAAGCCUAAAUGUUACUGACCCACAAGUUGUAAUUUUGUAAUAUUUUUUUGCUUAAUCACCGACACAAAAAAUAAAUCGACAAAGAAAUAGGCGGUGACGAUGGCGAAAGGUUAGGGUUUGGUACCUCAUGAAUUGCAAUUGGCAGUAGAUCGUCCAGAUAAUUUCCUAUCGUUUAUAUCCCCUUGCGGAGGUCUCAAGAAAGUAUCACCAUCUUGCAAAAACUCUGAUCCGUGAAGCUGGGUUGAUUGAAGGUUACAAUCCCAACUGUUGGAAUUAUUCAGGCUUCGAGAAAGUUUGGCUUUAUGAACUCAAACUAAAGGGAUGAAGCUGUGAGUAAGGGGAGAAGACAUAUCCGAAGACCUUAAAGAAACUGCUGCCUGGGAAAGACAUCUCGACAAAAUACCAAUAAGAUAUUGUCGGAAAAAUUCGUGCUACGUUUCGCCAUAGGAGCGCCAUUGACGGAGGAGAAGCACGUGAUGGAGGCAUGGAAGGUUAUCCAGGAAGAAGCAUCAUUUUUGCUUUCCAAGUAAAAUAAGUUCAAAAGAACUUUAUGAGAAAACCUGCUGUUCUUGCCAACAAACCGAAGCACUAGUUUGGUUUGGUUUAAUUUGAACUUCGGUUUGGUCUCCAAACGUAUUUACUAUUUUGUGUGAUUGUGUGCAAUUUUUUACCAAUUGAGUGUAUGAGUGUAUCUUAUCGUCUUUUCUUAUUUUUUCUUGUCAUCUUUUGAUUUAUUAGAUCAUCAAGAAUGAUGCCUCCUGAAAUACACAGAUACCACUAAAUCCCUCUGGUACCAACAAACCCAUACUGGACUCAACCAGCCAUAUAAACCCCACUACCGAAACAGCCAAAAUACAAACAAAUCUAUCUCAUCAUCAUCAAAAACCAAAAGGAUGAGACAUUAUCUGAGCACAAUUACUAAUCAGAGGGAAGAUGUUCCUCACUCUUAAAUAAGCCUUGCAACCAAACCGGAGGACCACUUGCCACAUAUGACUUCAGGUUGCUUAAUUUUGACACACUUUGAGCGAUGAGGAAAGCCCCUCUAUUAGCAACUCUUUCUUCCUUCAAUGUUUGCCAACCUCCUCAUAAUUUCAGAUGACUGGUACCUAAAAUUUAGCCAUGCUUUGGGUCUAGUGGUCGUACUUGAGAAGAUUUGAUCAUCCAUAGCAAUAAUCACUCGGUUAAGAUGAUGGGCUGCCAUACUCUCAGUUGUCCAUAAUAUCUCUUGGAACUUUGCCUCUUGUAAGGUUGUGAUAUUAGGAAAAUCCCUUCUGCUAUGUAUCAUAACCCGCCCCCCUGAAUCCCUAAGAACCCAACCUGCACCUCAGCGUUGUUUUCUGAUACUCCAAUCAACCCUAAUGUUGCCUUUUAGCCAUCCACUCUGUGGUGGUGACUAGACCUUUUUCCUUGCAUUCAUUUCCAUCUUCUCUUCAUUCUCUCUGCUCUUCUGGUUUUGCUGAGCAAGGAACCACAAAUCUGCUUCCUCGUUAACUUUUAUCAUCAUCAGAUUAGGCACCAUAGAUUUCCCCUGAAACAAAAUCCCAUUCCUAUUUUUCUACAAGUACCAAAUAGACCAUGGGAUUGCUCUUCUAACCUUCUCCGGUAUGUUCUUAUCAGGCAUUACCAUUAACAAAUAGUGAAAGUUGGAAUAAUGAGAGAUAUCACUGAACCUAUUUUCUGUACAUGGAACAUUUGAAAACGUCCACAAGGGUUUAGCAAUAAAAAAUAAGAAGAUUGUUCGCCCAAACCCUUGGAACAUACUACAGCCCCAGGUGGCGAAGAGCCAACAUCGAGGUGCCAAACCUUCCUAUUAGAGAUAUGUUGGGCCGGAAGAUAUGUUUCUUACGGACCUAGAUUGUGAAGCCCGUGAAACCCAUGAAAACCCCCAAGACUAAAAGGAAAGACUUGAAGAACAAGUUUAUCUCAAGAUAUUCUUAGCAUAUUUACAUUAAGUGUUUAAGAAAGUUAGCAUUAUCUAGUGAUAACAUUAUGUUAAUGUUACCGCUAUAUAUGUGCAUCUUGUAUUCUCAUAUCAAACAUAACACAAUCUAUUCUAUUAUACUUUACAUGGUAUCAGAGUAUUCGAUUCUUAGGGAUCAAGAUUAAAGCUUCUGCGUUAUAACUUCUAAGCUUUGAUGAUGAUCAUCAUCGGUGGUGUUGACGAUGAUGAAGACGGAGACGAUCAAGAAGAUGACGUGAAGCAACAAAAGCUUGAAAUAAGUUUACGUGAUCUCUAACUAAUAGGGUUUGGUUUUAUUAAUUAAGAAUGGUGGUGGGUUUUUGGGUAUGUGGCCGGUGAGUGCAAGAAUUAAAGAGAGGUUUAACGGUGUUUAAGGGUUUGGGGGUUUCAUGUGGGUUAAUUUUGUCUGAGAUUUAUUAAAUAGUUUAGAAUAUCUCAAAGUGUUGUUUUCCAUAGUUUGGAAUAUUUUUGUUAGAGACUAUUCUAUAGUUUAUAAUUUUUCAAAGAUUUCUUGCGUUAUAUUCCAUAGUUUGGGAUAUUGUGGUUAUAGUUUAACCAUUAUGGGGGAGUUUUAGUUAUGCUCAUGUUUUUAGUUCAAUUUGUUUAGUCCAAGUUACGGACUGUCCGAGAUAGGACGAUUGUUUUUUGGAGCUGCAGUUGUGCCCACGGGAUAUAUUCCCAUUGUCAAGACCAAAGAAGAGCUGAAGUUUUCAUCCCUCCUUGUCUAAAGUUAAAGUUUAUUCCCGGAGGAACCUACUGAUUUUUUUUCCUCGACAUAGUAUCCACGACAUACGUGGUCUGCUUUGUGAUUGCAGAUUUGCGUGUUGCAUCCCACGUUUGUCGUGCGGGAGAGUAUUAGAGAUAUGUUGGGACGGAAGAUAUAUAUCUUACGGACCUAGAUUGUGAAGCCCGUGAAACCCAUGAAAACCCUCAAGACUAAAAGGAAAGACUUGAAGAACAAGUUUAUCACAAGAUAUUCUUAGCAUAUUUACAUUAAGUGUUUAAGAAAGUUAGCAUUAUAUAGUGUUAAUAUUAUGUUAAUGUUACUGCUAUAUAUAUGCAUCUUUUAUUCUCAUAUCAAACAUAACACAAUCUAUUCUAUUAUACUUUACACUUCCUGUCGAUGUGAGCUCUUGAGGAGGCAACCCUUCUCCCGAAGUUAACGGGCUAUUUUGCCGAGUUCCUUACAGAGAGUUGUCUCGCGCCCCUGUAAAUAUAAUUACUGAGAAAGUUCUAUAGAAAAAAGGAAUUUCAAUGAAGGAAUAGUCAUUUUCAAGCUCAACUAACUGAAAUCUAGUUUUAAAAUCAAAAAUAUAUGAAUAAACCGCACGCUUGACAACAUGGAUCCAUCUUGACCCUUCUUUCACGGUAACUUUCCAGCUGGGAUAUCUUUGUUCAAAGCCCUCCAAAAUGAAAGUUUUAUCUUAGGAGGAGCUUCAAUUUUCCAGGCUGCCAUUUUCAGAUCAUUAAGCGAAGGUUUUGUUUUCGCUUGUCUAAUAUCAUUUACUCUGGUCAACCGAUACCAGUAACUAGACUUGACUGAAUAACAUCCAUUCCUAUUAUGCUGCCACACCCAAUUCUUCAUCGAACAAUUCGUGCAACUUAUCAAUCCUCCGGCAUCUAUUAUCUCUGUCAAUAAGGCCACUGACCUUCAGAAGCAAGUCCACAGAGAUGCUUUUCAUUAAAGGCCUUCUAGGAGGAU